AGAACGAACGCUGGCGGCGUGGAUAAGACAUGCAAGUCGAACGAGCUUAGUUUUGUAGCAAUACAGAGCUGAGCUAGUGGCGAACGGGUGCGUAACACGUGAGCAAUCUGCCUUAAAGUGGGGGAUAGCUCGCCGAAAGGCGAAUUAAUACCGCAUGUGGUUGUAAAACCAAAGCCGGGGCAACCUGGCGCUUUUAGAGGAGCUCGCGGCCUAUCAGCUUGUUGGUGAGGUAACGGCUCACCAAGGCUUCGACGGGUAGCUGGUCUGAGAGGACGACCAGCCACACUGGAACUGAGACACGGUCCAGACACCUACGGGUGGCAGCAGUCGAGAAUUUUUUCUCAAUGGGGGAAACCCUGAAGGAGCGACGCCGCGUGGAGGAUGAAUGCUUUCGGGUUGUAAACUCCUGUCAUUUGGGAACAAGCCUUACGUUAACUGCGUGGAGGUUUGAUAGUACCAGAAGAGGAAGAGACGGCUAACUCUGUGCCAGCAGCCGCGGUAA
rnacentral:rRNA from 1 species